AUUUAGAAAGGAGCAGGCUGGUAAUGAAUCGGUGUCUCUGAAGUGUGGGCUGCUUGAGGUCCUCUGGGGAGAGGCUCAAUCAAGAAGACACCUGGCUUGAGGAGGAAUAAAGAUAUGGGAAGAGAUCAUCAGACUACAUGGAAGGUGGUCCUUAGGCCGUUGGUCGCUUGAGUAAAAUCAUGUGCCUUAUGUUCAGGACCAGAUGUGGCAAACCCCUACUAAAGGAGGUAGAAGAAUGAAGACUGGUUUCUCCUUGAUUGUCCUCUGAUUGCAUCUUUCCAUCAUGGCACUGCAAACUCCUCCACCAAGGAGAAUACACUUCUUCAGCCAUUUUGCUUAUCUGUUAAUUAUUGAAUCUGAUCAGUAUAAUAAAUUUAGAUGA